UGAGAUAGGGUCUCGCUUUGUUGCCCAGGCUGGAGUGCAAUGGUGUAAUCGUGGGUCACUGUAGCCUCACCCUCCUAGGCUCAAAUACUCCUCCGGUCUCAGCUUCCUGAAUAGCUGGGACUAUCGGCUCAUGCC